GGAAUAGCGCCAGGCCUAUCUACCAGAUAGGUGACGAGGAAAGAGUUUAUCGAAAGAUUCGGCGGGUGACUCUAGGGACUGCCCCCUUAAGGUUAAGCCAAAACAGUUUUGCAAAAAGCUGAGACAAAA
rnacentral:ncRNA from 1 species